rnacentral:rRNA from 1 species
UACGGGGGGCGCAAGCGUUGUUCGGAUUUACUGGGCGUAAAGGGCGCGUAGGCGGCCACCGCAAGUCGGUUGUGAAAUCUCUGGGCUUAACCCAGAAAGGUCAACCGAUACUGCGGGGCUAGAGUGCAGAAGGGGCAACUGGAAUUCUCGGUGUAGCGGUGAAAUGCGUAGAUAUCGAGAGGAACACCUGCGGCGAAGGCGGGUUGCUGGGCUGACACUGACGCUGAAGCGCGAAAGCUAGGGGAGCGAACGGG